UUGCCUCAGUAACGGCGAGUGAAGCGGCAAGAGCUCAAAUUUGAAAUCUGGCCCCUUCGGGGUCCGAGUUGUAAUUUGUAGAGGAUGCUUCGGGUGCGGCCCCCGUCUAAGUGCUCUGGAACGGGCCAUCGGAGAGGGUGAGAAUCCCGUCUGGGACGGGGUGUCCGCGUCCAUGUGAAGCUCCUUCGACGAGUCGAGUUGUUUGGGAAUGCAGCUCUAAAUGGGUGGUAAAUUUCAUCUAAAGCUAAAUACUGGCCGGAGACCGAUAGCGCACAAGUAGAGUGAUCGAAAGAUGAAAAGCACUUUGAAAAGAGAGUUAAACAGCACGUGAAAUUGUUGAAAGGGAAGCGCUUGCGACCAGACUCGCUUCCGGGGUUCAGCCGGCUUUCGGGCCGGUGUACUUCCCCGGGGGCGGGCCAGCGUCGGUUUGGGCGGCCGGUCAAAGGCCCCUGGAAUGUAACGCCCCUCGGGGCGCCUUAUAGCCAGGGGUGUCAUGCGGCCAGCCUGGACCGAGGAACGCGCUUCGGCACGGACGCUGGCAUAAUGGUCGUAAACGACCCGUCUUGAAACACGGACCAAGGAGUCUAACAUCUACGCGAGUGUUCGGGUGUCAAACCCGUGCGCGCAGUGAAAGCGAACGGAGGUGGGAGCCCCCUCGAGGGGCGCACCAUCGACCGAUCCUGAUGUCUUCGGAUGGAUUUGAGUAAGAGCGUAGCUGUGGGGACCCGAAAGAUGGUGAACUAUGCCUGAAUAGGGCGAAGCCAGAGGAAACUCUGGUGGAGGCUCGCAGCCGGUUCUGACGUGCAAAUCGAUCGUCAAAAUUUGGGUAUAGGGGCGAAAGACUAAUCGA
rnacentral:rRNA from 1 species